CCUCCACUCCAGAUCCCCGCUUGCCGUGCUGUUCCCUUGGAUGGGGCCGGGGCUGGAGCUUGCAGGGAGGUGAAUGGAGGGUUUGCAGGGAGGUGUCCGGAGGGUUUGCAGGGAGGUGUCCGGAGGGUUUGCAGGGAGGUGUCCGGAGGGUUUGCAGCUCGGGCCAGGGCUGGAGCUUGCAGAGAGGUGUCUGGAGGGCUCGCAGCUCUCCGGAGGAGCCGCGGGGCAGCCCCGGCUCCUUUGUGCGGCAGGUUGCGGGUGGAAUGUGGAAUGCGGCACACGUUCCGCUCGCAACCGGGAGGACAAAGGAUUCGCUGAUCGGGGGGGAACAAUUAGUCCCAAUUAGGCCUAUUUCGCAGCUGAGUGUAAGCUGCUGGGGGAAGGGAGCUUAAAUCUUACAGCAAUGGGUCCCUCAGGCGAGUGAAAGCAAGAUCAGUGAAGUGACAAGCUUGAGAGCACGGGAGUGCCACCGAGGUGGUGGCACCGAGCACCUCCAUCCAGGAGAGGAUGGAGCUCCGCUCCUCAGCACACACCGGGUGCAAACCCCGCUAACUGUUAAAAACAGCUCAGAAACUGUUGUAAAAUAGUUUAUAAUUGUUAAGCGCGUACUGUUAGUUUAGUUGUUAUAUUGUAAAAGGGGUUAAAAGGGCAAUUAUAAGAAAUAAGGUACUCAGCGUGCUGCAUUACACACAAGUAAAGCGCAGCAGCCCCCAAGCGAAAUGAGCGAGCCUGGAUAGAACUGUAACGGGCCCAUCAAGCGCCUUAAACCUUCACACAAAUGAAGGAUCCAAAAAGAAACCAAUCCAAAAAACAGGAUAAAAAGGGGCAUCUGAGCCAGGGAAGCCGUGCUGCUCCACCUGAAACAUCAGGGACAUCGCUGCUGAAGAAAAUCCAGUGCCAACACUGCAGUAUCCCCGAUGGGAGUGCUCCUGCUCGGCCCGCAGGCCGCCUUGCUUUAGGCCUUUCUUAUUACAAUAAAUGCUGAAAUCACUUUA